AAGAAGUUAGUUUAAAAAAAACAUUAACUUGUCAAGUUAAAAAUACUAAAUAGUACUCCUUA
rnacentral:tRNA from 1 species